rnacentral:lncRNA from 1 species
ACUCCUAGUGAUUCCUUCCCUUAGAUUAAGCCUUGCUCUCUUCCCGUGCAAUCAGGAAGAGGAUUAUAUUAGUAAGUCCCUGAACAUUCCCUGAUUGGGGAAUGAGGGUCAAACCAAGGCAAAUGGAAGGAUUGACACUCACAUCAAGGGCUGGCUCAUUAAGGGCUCGGGACCUGGCAGUCGAGUUGCAUUGCAGAUUUUGGAAGUAUGCAACACCACGCCAGCCACCUUUCCAGGGAGAGACCAUGCAAAGAAGGCAGGUGAUCCAAGGGCUGGGAGUGGUGAGGACUGCUCCAGCCCCUGAGCAGCUGUCAUCCCAGCACAAAGUGUCAGAAGAGACAUGGGGCAGAGAGGCUAAGUCAGCAGCUUCUCACCACACUCCAAUCUGAUGCUGCUAGUGCUCCAAAAAGCUCUCAUAUCCUCACUGACUAGCCUAGGACUGUGUCUAUCAAUGCAUUAUAUGACACAGAUGAAGACUAUUGUGUACCUUCCUCAAUUUUUACCCCAUUGUUUCAGCCUUUUGUACAUCUUUAAUGUAAACAUCAAUGCGAGAAUUCUUGUGACAUUAAUUUUCUGGAACAACCUGUUUUGCAGAGCAAAUUUCAUUAAGCCAUUUUAAUCCAGAGUUUAAUUUUUUAUACAGCUUGACUAAAUCAUUUCCAUUUUUUUCCAUUAGAAUGUCUAUUUGUGGUAACAUUAUUUUCAUGGGAUCAAUUAUUUUCUGUUUAAAUUUACAACAGGCAUUUGACUCAUCAGUCUCUUUUUAUAUACCAUCUUUUUGCUGAUUCUAACUUCUGCUAUUUGGAGAGGUUUUCUUGUUUGUGUGUUUGAUUCUUUUGUGGCCAUUCUUUCUAUUAAGUGAAAAUCAUCUGGAUCAAAUUUUGUAGAUUUAAAUUUUGUUAUUAGUGAUACCUG